GAGUUUGAUCGUGGCUCAGAUUGAACGCUGGCGGCAUGCCUUACACAUGCAAGUCGAACGGCAGCAUGAUCUAGCUUGCUAGAUUGAUGGCGAGUGGCGAACGGGUGAGUAAUACAUCGGAACGUGCCCUGUAGUGGGGGAUAACUAGUCGAAAGAUUAGCUAAUACCGCAUACGACCUGAGGGUGAAAGUGGGGGACCGCAAGACCUCAUGCUAUAGGAGCGGCCGAUGUCUGAUUAGCUAGUUGGUGGGGUAAAGGCCCACCAAGGCGACGAUCAGUAGCUGGUCUGAGAGGACGAUCAGCCACACUGGGACUGAGACACGGCCCAGACUCCUACGGGAGGCAGCAGUGGGGAAUUUUGGACAAUGGGCGAAAGCCUGAUCCAGCAAUGCCGCGUGUGUGAAGAAGGCCUCGG
rnacentral:rRNA from 1 species